rnacentral:rRNA from 1 species
UACGGAGGGAGCUAGCGUUAUUCGGAAUUACUGGGCGUAAAGCGCACGUAGGCGGCUUUGUAAGUUAGAGGUGAAAGCCCAGAGCUCAACUCUGGAAUUGCCUUUAAGACUGCAUCGCUCGAAUCAUGGAGAGGUCAGUGGAAUUCCGAGUGUAGAGGUGAAAUUCGUAGAUAUUCGGAAGAACACCAGUGGCGAAGGCGGCUGACUGGACAUGUAUUGACGCUGAGGUGCGAAAGGCGUGGGAGCAAACAGG